rnacentral:rRNA from 1 species
GAUCAUUACCGAACUGUCAACACGAGCUGUUGCUGGCCUUCAAACGGGGGCACGUGCACGCUCUGUUUUCAUCCACUCACACCUGUGCACCCUCUGUAGUUCUAUGGUCUGGGAGGCUCUGUCUUCCUUCUGUGGUUCUGCGUCUUUACACACACACUGUAACCUGGUCUUAUGGAAUGUAAAGCAGCGUUUAACGCAAUAUAAUACAACUUUUAACAACGGAUCUCUUGGCUCUCGCAUCGAUGAAGAACGCAGCGAAAUGCGAUAAGUAAUGUGAAUUGCAGAAUUCAGUGAAUCAUCGAAUCUUUGAACGCACCUUGCGCUCCCUGGUAUUCCGGGGAGCACGCCUGUUCGAGUGUCGUGAAGUUCUCAAGCUGGGGAUGCUUUUCAUCUCUUCCAGAGAUGGUGGGCUCCCCGAAGCUCGGUUCAUUGGGGCUUUGCCGUGCCCUACCUAUUGGGGCGGCUGGCCUUAAAUACAUUAGCUGGUCCUCAUGUGAGAUUUGGUUCUACUCAGCGUGAUAAUAAUUCUGACCGCUGAGGACAUCGUUCGGGAUGGCCAAAUCUCAUUUGGGUUGCUUCUAAUCUGGUUUGCAGCUCUUUCUGAGCCUGCUCCACUUUCAAUUUUGACCUCGAAUCAGGUGGGGACUACCCGCUGAACUUAAGCAUAUCAAUAAGCGGAGGAAAAGAAACUAACMARGAUUCCCCUAGUAACGGCGAGUGAAGCAGGAAGAGCUCAAAUUUAGAAUCUGGUAGUCUUCGGCUGCCCGAAUUGUAAUCUAGAGAAGCGUUUUCCGCGCUGGACCGUGUACAAGUUUCCUGGAUACGGAACAUCAUAGAGGGUGAGAAUCCCGUCCUUGACACGGACUCCCAGUGCUUUUGUGAUGCGCUCUCGACGAGUCGAGUUGUUUGGGAUUGCAGCUCAAAAUGGGAGGUAAAUUCCUUCUAAAGCUAAAUAUUGGCGAGAGACCGAUAGCGAACAAGUACCGUGAGGGAAAGAUGAAAAGCACUUUGGAAAGAGAGUUAAACAGUACGUGAAAUUGUUAAAAGGGAAACGCUUGAAGUCAGUCACGUCUGCUUGGACUCAGCCUCACUUCGGUUUGGUGCAUUUCCUUGCGGAUGGGCCAGCGUCCAUGUUGUUUGUCGGAAAAGGGGUGAGAGAAUGUGGCUCCUUCGGGAGUGUUAUAGCUUUCGCUCGCAUGCGAGAAACGAUAUGGAGUGGUACAGCACGCUUUGGUGG